rfam:Oryza sativa (indica cultivar-group) chromosome 1, whole genome shotgun sequence.
AAUACUGGUCGCUUUGAGUUUUUGUUUCUGACGUUUGAUCAUUCGUGUUAUUCAAAAAAUUAUGAAAUUAUUAUUUAUUUUGUUUGUAACCUGCUUUAUUAUCAAAAGUACUUUAAAUAUGACUUAUCUUUUUUUAUAUUUGCACUAAUUUUUCAAAUAAGACGAAUAGUCAAACGUUGCAAGCAGAAAGUCAAAGGACCACUAAUU